rnacentral:misc_RNA from 1 species
GAUGAAGAACGUAGCGAAAUGCGAUAAGUAAUGUGAAUUGCAGAAUUCAGUGAACCAUCGAAUCUUUGAACGCACAUUGCGCCCGGCAGUAAUCUGCCGGGCAUGCCUGUCCGAGCGUCAUUUCUGCCCUCGAGCGAGUCCAGCAUCUAGGUGCUGGGCCCGCCCGGCGUUGGGGCACUACGGGAAGCCCUGUGCUGUCCCCCGUAGGCCCCGAAAUGAAGUGGCGGUCCUGCCGCGGCGCCCCCUGCGUAGUAUAACAGCUCGCUUCGGGAACCGGUGGAGGCCUGCCGUCAAACCUUACUCUCUAAGUUUGACCUCGGAACAGGUAGGGUUACCCGCUGAACUUAAGCAUAUCAAUAAGCGGAGGA